rnacentral:rRNA from 1 species
UACGAAGGGGGCUAGCGUUGUUCGGAAUCACUGGGCGUAAAGCGCACGUAGGCGGAUCUUUAAGUCAGGGGUGAAAUCCCGAGGCUCAACCUCGGAACUGCCUUUGAUACUGGGGAUCUCGAGUCCGGGAGAGGUGAGUGGAACUGCGAGUGUAGAGGUGAAAUUCGUAGAUAUUCGCAAGAACACCAGUGGCGAAGGCGGCUCACUGGCCCGGAACUGACGCUAAGGUGCGAAAGCGUGGGGAGCAACAGG